rnacentral:misc_RNA from 1 species
GAUCGGUCUGUUUUAUUCUUCAAAACUCACAAUUUCGCCAACCACUCAUUUUAUUUCUUCAUAAAAACCCUAAAAACACAAUCGAACCCCAAAAAUUGGUGUUGAAAGGAAGAGUAACGAUUUGGUUUUGAAUUCAAGUUCAAAUUCAGAGCAUGGGGUGAAGAAGAUUAGAAGAAGAAGAUAUACAGGUGACGAAUUUCGUGAUGGAGUGGGAUAGCAAUUCGGAUUUGAGUGGAGAAGAAGAAGAUGGCGUUAUUGAAGAAGAAGAAGUUGAGGAUGAAUUAGAGGAACUAGGGUUUAUGUUGAGUGGUGGUGGUUCAACUUUGCCUUUCCCUAUUGACUCGCUUUUGCAACCUGCACCUUGUGGUUUUGUUGUUAGCGAUGUUUUUGAGCCUGACCAUCCCAUUAUAUAUGUCAAUUCUGUUUUUGAGAUGGUUACUGGUUACCGUGCUGAAGAAGUCCUUGGCCAAAACUGUCGCUUCUUGCAAUGUAGAGGCCCAUAUGCCAAAC